GAUGAACGCUAGCGGCAGGCUUAAUACAUGCAAGUUGUGGGGCAGCAGGUUUGUAGCAAUACAGAUGCUGGCGACCGGCAAACGGGUGCGGAACACGUACAGAACCUUCCUUUGAGCGGGGAAUAGCCCAGAGAAAUUUGGAUUAAUACCCCAUAGUAUAAUGAAGUGGCAUCACUUUAUUAUUAAAGAUUUAUCACUCGAAGAUGGCUGUGCGGCUGAUUAGGUAGUUGGCGGGGUAAAGGCCCACCAAGCCUGCGAUCAGUAACUGGUGUGAGAGCACGACCAGUCACACGGGCACUGAGACACGGGCCCGACUCCUACGGGAGGCAGCAGUAAGGAAUAUUGGUCAAUGGAGGCAACUCUGAACCAGCCAUGCCGCGUGGAGGAUGAAGGUCCUCUGGAUUGUAAACUUCUUUAUAUGGGACGAAAAAGGCUUUUCUAAGUCGUCUGACGGU
rnacentral:rRNA from 1 species